AUUAGACCUGAACGGAAGGUGACACAUUUUAACCACAGAUUCUCGGACUGUGUGCGCCAACAGAGCAUGCAAGUGCGUUUAGAACGGAAAGCAUCCUCUGCAUCAUAGCUGGUUGCUACCACUGUGCAUUGAAUAUACAUUCAGGCAAAUUAUAUUUUGAACACAAACUACAUCUUUUUGCAGAAUAUUUUUUCUGCAAGACAGCUGAUCUGCUUGUCUGUUAGAUAGAAGGGAGCAGACGACAGAUGUCCACAGUAUUGAUGGAUGACGGUCCUUCACAUCCAGCUCGACAUGUCGCAGUGGGAAAGCGUUGUCACGACCAAAUGAGUCAACUCGGCUACGACAGCAGCAUGGCAGACUAUCUAAUAACUGGCGGUGCUGGAUACGUUCCUGACGAUGGUUUAACCGGGGCUGGACUAUUUGCAAAUGGAGAUGGAAUGACAUAUAAUGAUUUCCUUAUCUUGCCAGGCUUUAUUGAUUUUCUCUCGGAAAAUGUGGACCUCACAUCAGCUCUCACUCGCAAAAUUACCCUCAAGGCACCCCUUGUAUCUUCUCCUAUGGACACGGUCACAGAGUCUAGCAUGGCAAUCGGAAUGGCGUUAUGCGGUGGCGUGGGAGUCAUUCAUCACAACUGUGCUCCAGAAUUUCAAGCCAAUGAAGUUAGAAAAGUGAAGAAAUAUGAGCAGGGAUUCAUCCUCGACCCGGUGGUCAUGUCCCCAAAACAAACUGUGAAGGAUGUCAACAAUGCCAAGAAUCAAUACGGCUUCUCAGGUAUCCCCAUCACCGAGAACGGACACAUGGGGGAGAAACUUGUUGGUCUCGUCACCCAGCGAGACAUUGAUUUCCUCACCACGGAGGAGUUUAACACACCACUGGGAGAGGUGAUGACAAAAUUUGAGGCACUUGUUGUGGCACACAGUGGAGUGACACUAAAGGAAGCCAACCAGAUACUACAAAAGAGUAAAAAAGGAAAACUUCCCAUCAUCAAUGACAAUGGUGAGCUGGUUGCUUUAAUAGCUCGAACCGAUACCAAAAAGAACCGAGACUUUCCCUUGGCUUCCAAAGAUGAACAUAAACAGCUCCUUGUGGGAGCGGCAGUCAGUACCCAAGACUCGGACAAAGAUAGGCUAGAGAUGUUAGUGUCAGCAGGUGUAGACUUCGUAGUCUUGGAUUCGUCCCAAGGUAACUCUAUUUACCAGAUCAACAUGAUAAAACACAUCAAGAAAAAAUAUCCAAAUCUCCAAGUUAUUGGAGGCAAUGUGGUGACAGCAGCCCAGGCUAAGAACUUAGUAGAUGCAGGUGUGGACGCUCUGAGGGUGGGCAUGGGUAGUGGGUCUAUCUGUAUCACCCAAGAAGUGAUGGCAGUUGGCCGGCCUCAAGGUACAGCCGUCUAUAAAGUGGCCGAGUAUGCUCGCAGAUUUGGGGUUCCCGUCAUAGCAGAUGGAGGAAUUGCAGUGGUGGGUCACAUCAUCAAGGCGCUCUCUCUAGGGGCCUCCACAGUGAUGAUGGGCUCAAUGUUGGCCGGGACCUCUGAAGCCCCGGGUGAAUACUUCUUUGCUGAUGGUGUUAGACUGAAAAAGUACAGAGGAAUGGGCUCACUUGAUGCCAUGGAGAAACACAAAAGUAGUCAAAGCCGAUACUUCAGUGAGAGUGAUAAGUUGAAAGUAGCCCAGGGUGUGUCAGGCUCUAUAGUAGACAAAGGAUCCAUCCACAAGUUCGUGCCCUAUCUCAUAGCUGGGAUCCAGCACGCCUGUCAGGACAUCGGAGCUCGUAGUCUCUCCAACCUAAGGGACAAGGCCAUACAUGUACUGAAACCAUACACGCCCCCAGGCAGCGUUACAUUCACCCCCCACACAGCGACCAACCCCGCUUGGAUGACAGAUGUUUUGGAGGUCAAUGAUGUACUCGGGCGAGCUAAAGUUUGAGAGGAGAACCACUUCAGCUCAAAUUGAAGGAGGCGUACAUAACCUACACAGUUUUGAUGUUCGUCUGUACUAAGCUUUGAAAAAAGGUUGUACUAGAAGCAGUACUCCCAAGCAAUGGAAGUUAGAAAGAUGACGACAUUCCGAUCUCUUUGCCGGAUUUCCAGAUACAAUAAGCAACAAGGAAAAUCAAGUGAAGCCACAAGGGAGAUAACUUGUGUCUCGGUCUCUUCAGGUCAAAAUUGUAAAGUAGAAUUCAUGUUGCACAGAAAUUUGGCUCUUUGCCAUGAAAGUAGAGGUGAAACAGGAAGUAUACUGGGUGCUAUUAAGGUUUUAAAUGAUUAUAAAUAUGUGGCAAUACAUUAUUAGAUAUUCUGUAUUUUGGAUCUAUUUUUACAAAGAUUCUUGACUGGACUUAGUUUUACAUUUUUUCCAUAAGUGCAUACAUUAGAAGAAAUCCGUAGGACAGAUCUAGAUGACUUCACCAAGAUGACAUGUUUCAGAGUUCAAAAUUCUACUCAAUAAUGCUUGACUGUGAGAUAGUUCUACGAAGUCUGCUGUGCACACUAUGAAAUAGUUCAGAAAUGAAUAUUGUUGCAGCACUGAUCUAGUUUUACAAAAUGUUAUGUAAUAGAAAUGUUCAUUAUAUUAUUCUUCUUUAAGGCCAAUAAGGUUGGUGAGUUUAUUGUAUGGAAGGAAGAUUGGUUUGAAAAACAAGUACUGCAUACAGGAAAUGUUUGCUGCAGUUAAACUUUUGCGCCCUCAGUACCAGAGAGAAUUUAUCAUAACAGUGAGCAGUUGUAAGCAAUAUAAUUAACACAGUAAUCAAAUGUGAAGGAUGAAAUUAUUAUUGGGCCAAAACAGAUUUUACUGGUAUAGGGCGUAACUUUGUCUGGAGGAGAGUUUGCCUGUAUAGAGUAUUUACUUUAGCUGUAGAUAGCAUUACAAUGCUAUUCUUUUUAUACUUUGAAAUGUUGAGAGUUGGUUUCGACUUGCUAUGAUACUUUCCACAAAGUGUGAAAACCUAAGCAAUGUGUGGUAUGCUAGAUUGAUAUAUGCAGUUAAUUUGCCCUGCUUUAUGUUUUUCAUAAUUCAUUUUGUGGUAUUAUUUCUCCUUGUAUGAUGAUAGUUUUGCAUUUUUAGCUCACCUAGUUUGAAGGGUCAAGCUGUUCGAGUUAUUGCUAUCUAACAGCACGUAUCCAUCAUUCAUUCAUCCAUAUUCUUAUAAAGAACCCCAGAGCAUAAGGUAAUGCUGUUUGGUCUAUAGCUUGUUUGGAUAUAUAAAAGACUAUCAAUAUAUAUUUCUUAAAGCACUUUUUUUACAAACAAUGAGGCCUAGAGUCGUGGUAUUUGAUUUAGAACUUAUUAGGAUGAAGGGCUAUCAAAUUGUUUAAACAGAUGACCUUUUUUCACAUUUUUACAAAAGUUUCCAUAUAAGCCUCUUGUUUUGUUGUUGUUUUAGAAGUGAGAAAACAUCUCUGUUGCAGUUGAUAUACUUUGUACUAUAAAGAGGAUAUUUCUGUACAGUAAUUCCACACUCCUGCCAUUAGAAAAACUAAAUUCUAGUAUCUGGCAUCUGGCAUUACGUGUUGAUCAGUUCAUCUGUCUCAAAGUUACCACCGUAAAAACAACAGACAUUCCUGUUCUAAAAUAAGUCAUGUCUGCAAAGAAGUUGACUUCUUUUGGAAGAAAUAACAUUUUAAAAAACAUGGGCAUGAAAACAGUAUAAUCUGAUUACAUUGUAGAACGUUCCAGUUCAGUCUUGAUUCCAUGUUUGCAGAUUUACUGAUGCUUUACUCCCUAGAUCUUAAUUCAUUGAAUCUCGCUACAAACUAUAUAUAGCUACUGAUAUCAUUUUAAUACACUCAUCUGUUUGUUAUAUUCAUAUUUUUGCCAUGGUCAUUUUGGGACAAAUUGUAAUUUAUAGGUAGAUUGAAAUUAGUCAUGUAGUACAAUGUCAAAGAUAACUAGCGCCAUUAUUUGAACAGCAUUUAUCCAAAUCUUUAUUAUCUACUAUGAAGGCCACCUUCGUUGCAGUACCAAUCUCAGAUCAGAGAAAUUACCAGUGUUGAUUCACGGUGAUUUGAUAUUGGUUGUGAUCACAUUACAAAUUUUAUCAAUCAUCUACAUUAUUUGUUUUCUCUCUCUUCAACAGUGAAGUGGGUGAUGUUGAUUUUAGAAACAUGAAGACAAUUCACUCUAUCUGAUUCAAGGUGCAUUCAUGAUCACAGGGUUUGAGGUUAGAACCCAAGAAAAUGAUUACACCGAUACCAAUCAUUUAAAAUCUAGGACCUGGAAUAAUAAUGUGGUAUCAUUGAUUCAUUGGUAUCAAUAGGUUAAAAGGUUUGUAUUUUUUUUUUCGGUUGAUCAUAUAACGAAUACAUUUUCAAAGCAGGAGGUCAACAUUUUUCAUGUUUCGUUUAUUGCUGUUAAAAUAGGACUAUAUGCAACAAAAAAUCUUGAAAUUUUGCCAAGGAACACGCGGAAAGAGGACUUUGUAAUACAGCAUAAUAUAUGGUAUUGAUGGUGUAGUUAAAUACCGUGAGGUUCUAACCUUAACUCAUAAUUACAGAGAAGGACCAGAAAUGACAUUUGGGCCAAAGCAAUAUAUUUGUAGAUUUAAAUUAAUUAUGUGGGCCAAAUCUUUACGAAGGAGGACAUGCUCAGCACUGCUCUCACUAUAGGGACCACAUACAGACCACAUACAGAACUACAACAGCAGUCUUUAAAUCAAUGUCAGAAUUAUAUUUUAAUUCGUAUGUAUAAUGCCUUAAAGAUUUACUAUGUAGUGUAAUAGAUAAUAUGAACUCACCGAUUCCCCUCCGUUCAUUUACAUACAUCUGCAAAAGGGUCAUAGAAUAAAGUCCAGAUUUCAUUUGAUAAUCAAAGGCAAACCAUUGAAGUAAGUACAAAAGUAAAAUUAUAUAUAUAUUGACAAUGGGUGCAUGUGUGGUGUAGUCAUAUUUUGAAUGAAGCAAUUUGGAUUUUUUCCCCCCUAGAAAUCAUAUGUGAAUACUUCAGCCAAGAACCACUAUUAUUUAUCUCUGUAUAGGGAUGGGGCUGCGGGGAAACUUUUCAUCCUUCUUCUCAAGCCGUUAGUCAUUGACAGUACAUUUAAGUAGGCAUAUUGUUACUGUCAGGGGAGGUAAUUUAUUUGUCUUAUAGUAGUAGAUUUGGGAUUAAAAAGGAAUUUUGUCAUUCCAAUCUUGAACCCAAAAAGUAAAAAGAUUGUGUAUGUCUGGUAUUGCAAUUAAGACUUUAAAAUUUCAUUAAAAACUCCUAGCUUUGCUAAACUUGUAAUUAAUUUACUUAUCGACAUUCUAUUUUCACUCCAUAAGAUAUAAAGUUUCCAUAAGUUAUUUGUACAUCAUACCCGAGUUAAUAUAAUCAAGUGUUAAGGUGAUACACUGUAGAACUACAUUUUACUGCAUUUAAUUUUUGUAAAGUUUAUUACAUGCAUUUAUAUAAUUGUCCGAUAAUGUUUUGAAGCCAAUAAAACACAGUGAUGAUUGUGAACGGCCACCAUUAAAAUGUUUUCAAACUUAUUGAUAUUUACAUUGCCCUAUAGAUUUCAAGGUGAUAUUUGCAAGCUUAAUUUGUGUGAAAAAUUUAUGAUUUGUUGUAAUUAUUUUGAAUUUCUAGCCUUAAUUCUACUUUUUGCCUAAACAUAUUAAUUCUACUUGUUUGCCUUUGACCAUGUUUAUACUAUCAUUAUUUGCCUGGCAAUAGGAGACUGGUGUUGCCUUUUUGCAUCCAGUUCACCAUUCAUACUGUUCCAGUUGGAACAUCGGCAAAUGUCAAAAUGUUUAAUGACGGAAUUAUUCGCAACUUUAAAGUAUUAAGUAUUACGAUUGCUAUUUCCUUUAUUGAUACCUAAUAUCUUGAAAAUUAGACAUCAGAGUUGUAUUUCAUUUAAUAUUACCAAGACUGUAAUGGGAAAAUACCGAUUUAGGCAAGAACAAUACUUCAGAAUUGCCUUUAAUGAAGUGCAAUGAGUUUCUCAUAAAAUCAUUGAUCCAGUUUUGUAACUUUUAACUGUUUUUUUUAACAGUUUUAAAUGUGUAGAGCUAAUGGUCUACCGCUACUGCCUCCAGCCAUUUAUAGUGAUUUAUUUUUAUUUUGUGCAUAUCUCCCCAUCAUGUCAUAAUUAUGUGAUAGAUAGCAGUGAAUAUUAGAUACAUAAUUAUACUCUUACCACAAAAGAACUCUGAAAAUGCAGCACGUUUAGCAAAAAAAACAAAAAAAACUAUUUACACUCAUCAUAAAAUACUUACCACCAUCAAUUUAUCCAGUCACGAUAAAUACAUUGCCAUUGUAUAUUUGUUGUCUGAACGUGAGGUUGGGAGUAGCAGGCAGUGUGCACUGCUUUGAGGUUACACAUAUUAUUGUCACCACACUCUUGUAUGUAGAUUUUGCACACGUUGGUAGGGUGAACAUUGCGCUAUCCUGAGGUGACAGGUAUGUCACAAAAUGGUGUUGUAAAAUUUAAUUAGACAUGAAAGAAAUGUAUUGAUUUUUAUAGAUAAAUGUUAUCGUUCUUGUCAUUGGAAGAUUUUUUUAGUUGUCUUCUUCAAAAUACUAUGAAUUCAUUCUGAGUAUAUGUACAUGUGUAAAUUUAAAGAUAUUGUAAAAACAUACAAUGAAAUAAAAAGUAAGAGAUGUUCUGUAAAGUGUUAAUACAUGUUAAUUGUUGGGUAGACAUUUCUGGAUAAGUUCUGUCAGAAAUGCUCAUUUGUUCAUCAAUAAAUUAAUAUUGAUAUUGGU